rnacentral:rRNA from 1 species
GACAGCCGGUGAUAAACCGGAGGAAGGUGGGGACGACGUCAAGUCAUCAUGGCCCCUACGAGUAGGGCUACACACGUGCUACAAUGGCGCAUACAGAGGGCGGCCAACUUGCGAAAGUGAGCGAAUCCCAAAAUCUUGUGUCAGAAUACGGAUUGGAGUCUGCAACUCGACUCCAUGAAGUCGGAAUCGCUAGUAAUCGUGGAUCAGAAUGCCUCGGUGAAUACGUUCCCGGGCCUUGUACACACCGCCCGUCACACCAUGGGAGUGGGCUGCAAAAGAAGUAGGUAGUUUAACCUUCGGGGGGA